rnacentral:lncRNA from 1 species
CCGGGCUAGCUCGCGAGCUUUAGCCCUAAUUUUCAUGCCUAUGUGUAAGUAACUUUUGAUUAAGGGUUUAUAUAAAAUUGAUAUUUGAAGGUAUGCUUUUUUUUUUCUUUUUGAAAAUAUAUAUAUGAUAUUUGAAGGUAUGCACUAUGAGGCCAUCAACUAUAACUGGACGCCAAGGCCGCAACAAGUUGUCUGAUAUUUCUCGCAGAUCAUCUGAAGCAUAUGCAGAUCUUUGUACUAAACAGUUAAACUCUUUUCCAGAUUGUACGCCUCAAGAGUUCUUGCGGCCUUGGAUUAAUUAGGAUGUUGAUGCAUUACAAAUGUAGUGUGUGCUCAAAAAUGUCAUUUUUGGAUGUGUACUUUGUUACGUAUGCAUUUCAUUAAAAGAUGAAUGAGAACCUUGUUGAUAAUCGUCGAUGAGGAUAUGCUCUAAAGUCAUUGAAGUAUCGAAAAAA